CGUAAAGACUCGUGUGGGGGGAGAAGAAGAAAGUCGGUGAAGAGCCGGCCUGACGUAUCCCCUUAGCAAGCACCGGCUAACUCCGUGCCAGCAGCGCGGUAAUACGGAGGGUGCAAAACGUUGCUCGGAAUCAUUGGGCGUAAAGCGCGCGUAGGCGGCUGAACAAGUUGGAUGUGAAAGCCCUGGGCUCAACCUAGGAUGUGCAUUCAAAACUGUUCGGCUUGAGUCUCGGAGGGGGUCAGAGAAUUCUCGGUGUAGAGGUGAAAUUCGUAGAUAUCGGGAGGAACACCAGUGGCGAAGGCGCUGACCUGGACGAUGACUGACGCUGAGGCGCGAAAGCGUGGGGAGCAAACAGGAUUAGAUACCCUGGUAGUCCACGCCGUAAACGAUGAGUGCUAGACGCUGGCGGAUUGACCCCGUCGGUGUCGAAGCUAACGCGUUAAGCACUCCGCCUGGGGAGUACGGUCGCAAGACUAAAAACUCAAAGGAAUUGACGGGGGGG
rnacentral:rRNA from 1 species